GACGAGUGGCGGACGGGUGAGUAAUGUCUGGGAAACUGCCUGAUGGAGGGGGAUAACUACUGGAAACGGUAGCUAAUACCGCAUAACGUCGCAAGACCAAAGAGGGGGACCUUCGGGCCUCUUGCCAUCGGAUGUGCCCAGAUGGGAUUAGCUAGUAGGUGGGGUAACGGCUCACCUAGGCGACGAUCCCUAGCUGGUCUGAGAGGAUGACCAGCCACACUGGAACUGAGACACGGUCCAGACUCCUACGGGAGGCAGCAGUGGGGAAUAUUGCACAAUGGGC
rnacentral:rRNA from 1 species